rnacentral:rRNA from 1 species
AUGCCAGACUCCUACGGGAGGCAGCAGUGGGGAAUAUUGCGCAAUGGGGGAAACCCUGAUGCAGCGACGCCGCGUGAGUGAAGAAGUAUUUCGGUAUGUAAAGCUCUAUCAGCAGGGAAGAAAAUGACGGUACCUGAUUAAGAAGCCCCGGCUAACUACGUGCCAGCAGCCGCGGUAAUACGUAGGGGGCAAGCGUUAUCCGGAUUUACUGGGUGUAAAGGGAGCGUAGACGGCUGUGCAAGCCAGAUGUGAAAGCCCGGGGCUCAACCCCGGGACUGCAUUUGGAACUGUGUGGCUGGAGUGUCGGAGAGGCAGGCGGAAUUCCCAGUGUAGUGGUGAAAUGCGUAGAUAUUAGGAGGAACACCAGUGGCGAAGGCGGCUUACUGGACUGUAACUGACGUUGAGGCUCGAAAGCGUGGGGAGCAAACAGGAUUAGAUACCCCCGUACC